GAUGAACGCUGGCGGCGUGCUUAAUACAUGCAAGUCGAGCGAACGGACGAGGAGCUUGCUCCUCUGACGUUAGCGGCGGACGGGUGAGUAACACGUGGAUAACCUCCCUAUAAGACUGGGAUAACUUCGGGAAACCGGAGCUAAUACCGGAUAAUAUAUUGAACCGCAUGGUUCAAUAGUGAAAGACGGUUUUGCUGUCACUUAUAGAUGGAUCCGCGCCGCAUUAGCUAGUUGGUAAGGUAACGGCUUACCAAGGCAACGAUGCGUAGCCGACCUGAGAGGGUGAUCGGCCACACUGGAACUGAGACACGGUCCAGACUCCUACGGGAGGCAGCAGUAGGGAAUCUUCCGCAAUGGGCGAAAGCCUGACGGAGCAACGCCGCGUGAGUGAUGAAGGUCUUCGGAUCGUAAAACUCUGUUAUUAGGGAAGAACAAAUGUGUAAGUAACUAUGCACGUCUUGACGGUACCUAAUCAGAAAGCCACGGCUAACUACGUG
rnacentral:rRNA from 1 species